rnacentral:rRNA from 1 species
GGACGGGUGAGUAAUGCCUAGGAAUCUGCCUGGUAGUGGGGGAUAACGUUCGGAAACGGACGCUAAUACCGCAUACGUCCUACGGGAGAAAGCAGGGGACCUUCGGGCCUUGCGCUAUCAGAUGAGCCUAGGUCGGAUUAGCUAGUUGGUGGGGUAAUGGCUCACCAAGGCGACGAUCCGUAACUGGUCUGAGAGGAUGAUCAGUCACACUGGAACUGAGACACGGUCCAGACUCCUACGGGAGGCAGCAGUGGGGAAUAUUGGACAAUGGGCGAAAGCCUGAUCCAGCCAUGCCGCGUGUGUGAAGAAGGUCUUCGGAUUGUAAAGCACUUUAAGUUGGGAGGAAGGGCAGUUGCCUAAUACGUAACUGUUUUGACGUUACCGACAGAAUAAGCACCGGCUAACUCUGUGCCAGCAGCCGCGGUAAUACAGAGGGUGCAAGCGUUAAUCGGAAUUACUGGGCGUAAAGCGCGCGUAGGUGGUUUGUUAAGUUGGAUGUGAAAUCCCCGGGCUCAACCUGGGAACUGCAUUCAAAACUGACUGACUAGAGUAUGGUAGAGGGUGGUGGAAUUUCCUGUGUAGCGGUGAAAUGCGUAGAUAUAGGAAGGAACACCAGUGGCGAAGGCGACCACCUGGACUGAUACUGACACUGAGGUGCGAAAGCGUGGGGAGCAAACAGGAUUAGAUACCCUGGUAGUCCACGCCGUAAACGAUGUCAACUAGCCGUUGGGAGCCUUGAGCUCUUAGUGGCGCAGCUAACGCAUUAAGUUGACCGCCUGGGGAGUACGGCCGCAAGGUUAAAACUCAAAU